CGCACGGGUGAGUAACACGUAUGCAAUCCACCUGUAAUAGGGGGAUAACCCGGAGAAAUUCGGACUAAUACCCCAUAAUAUGGGCGCUCCGCAUGGAGAGCCCAUUAAAGAGAGCAAUUUUGGUUACAGACGAGCAUGCGCUCCAUUAGCCAGUUGGCGGGGUAACGGCCCACCAAAGCGACGAUGGAUAGGGGUUCUGAGAGGAAGGUCCCCCACAUUGGAACUGAGACACGGUCCAA
rnacentral:rRNA from 1 species